UAGGGAAUCUUCGGCAAUGGGCGCAAGCCUGAUGGAGCAACGCCGCGUGUGUGAUGAAGGCUUUCGGGUCGUAAAGCACUGUUGUAUGGGAAGAAAUGCUAGAAUAGGGAAUGAUUCUAGUUCGACGGUACCAUACCAGAAAGGGACGGCUAAAUACGUGCCGG
rnacentral:rRNA from 1 species